UACGGAGGGUGCGAGCGUUGUCCGGAAUCAUUGGGCGUAAAGGGUGCGCAGAUGGCUUGGUAAGUUAGCGGUGGGAAAUCGAGGCUCAACCUCGUGGAAGCCGGUAAUACUAUUAGGCUUGAGUGCAGGAGAGGUUAACGGAAUUCCAUGUGGAGCGGUAAAAUGUGUAGAUAUAUGGAAGAACAUCAAUAACGGCGAAGGCAGUUAACUAUUCUGCUACUGACAUUGAGGCACGAAAGCGUGGGGAGCAAAACGG
rnacentral:rRNA from 1 species